AUGCUGCCCAUUGAAAUCUCAACCCCCAUGCAUCUCGGGAUUCUCAACCACUAUAUUAGCCGGAAUGUAUUGCGAGCUUUAUCCUCUCGUGCUCUCCUUUGUUCCGAACCUAUAAUAAAUAUCGCAGCACAGAGUCUAGUCAGUAGCAUGCAAGACUAUCUACCAAAGGCACAACACAAAAUAUGUGCUAGACACAUCUAUGUUAAUUGGAGAAAGAAAUACAGAGGGCAUGCUCUACAAAAUAAGUUUUGGGCUAUUGCAAAGGCUGCAAACAGAGAAGACUUCAUGUACAGAAAAGCUAAGUUAGCUCAAGACACACCUGAAGGAGCAAGGGAUAUAAUGAGAACAGAGCCUUAG
rnacentral:rRNA from 1 species